GUGGGGAAUAUUGGGCAAUGGGCGCAAGCCUGACCCAGCAACGCCGCGUGAGGGAAGAAGGCUUUCGGGUUGUAAACCUCUGUCCUUGGUGACGAAAAAAAUGACGGUAGCCAAGGAGGAAGCCCCGGCUAACUACGUGCCAGCAGCCGCGGUAAUACGUAGGGGGCGAGCGUUGUCCGGAAUUACUGGGCGUAAAGGGUGCGUAGGUGGCCUUUUAAGUUGGAUGUGAAAUACCCGGGCUUAACUUGGGGGGUGCAUCCAAAACUGGGAGGCUAGAGUGCAGGAGAGGAAAGCGGAAUUCCUAGUGUAGCGGUGAAAUGCGUAGAUAUUAGGAGGAACACCAGUGGCGAAGGCGGCUUUCUGGACGGUGUCUGACACUGAGGCGCGAAAGCUAGGGGAGCGAACGGGAUUAGAUACCCCUGUAGUCC
rnacentral:rRNA from 1 species